AAUGCUUACCUCAGUCAAAUAGGGUUGUACAUAGACCCCGAAUGCUCUUACUGCAACCUGGACACCACAACCUCUAAGCAUAUUUUCUUCCAAUGUCCCAAUGCUUUUGACUUCUAGAGAAAACUGCAAGAAACUGGGGUAAUCCCUAUAAUGACUACCCUUCACACCUUGGACAAUGUUAAUUGGGUAGUGUUGAUACCCAAUUUUAUCUCUCCAAACAUAAAAUUAACGCAUUCAGGCUCCCUGAUCAUUAAAUGACAUAAAAUGCAAUUUGUCGUAUAUUUUUUACAAUUGUUAAUAAAUUAUUAUUCCCUUCGUUUAAAAAAGAAUGACCUACUUUUCUUUUUAGUCUGUUUAAAAAAAGAAUGAUCCCUUUCUUUUUUUGGCAAUACUUUAAUUUCAAUUUUCCACAUAGCAUGUUUAGGACCACAAGAUUAAAGGGCAUUUUGGUACAUUUGACACAACUUUAAUUUAAGGCCACAAGAUUAAAAAGUCUUCUUCAUUUUCUUAAACUUUGUGUCAAGUCAAAGUUGAUCAUUCUUUUUUAAACGAGGGAGUAAUAAUCAUCAUUAUUUUAAAAUUUUUAUCAAUUUAUUGUCAUAUUUUAACUUUGCAUAAUUUAUUGAUAAUUAUUCUUAAUUUCAUAAAUUUUAAAAUUUUUGUCAGUUUAUUAUCAUUUUAAUUUCUUGUACAGUCAUUUGCAUGCGUAUAUAGCAUAGCACUGCAAUUUUUUUACCGUACAUUAUAAUUUUAAUUGUUUAUAGUAUAAUAUAUUUUUUUGGAUAAUUUUAUUAUAUUUGUUAUUUACAUUUUUCUGUAAUUAUAUAUCGACAUUCAUAUUUUUAUACGUUAUUUAAUAUAGUCUGCAAACGAUAAUUUCGACUUAAUUAUUUUGAUACAUGGAGCAACAAAUCAGUCAAAUCAAAAUCUGAUCACUUUUUAAAAAGUGACAUUUGAGAUGAUAGGUUAAUGCUUUCAUUCGUUGAAUAAAUAAUCUUUACACAUUGGUUAAAAGGGUGUAAGACCCAUGGGAUAAUAUGUAGUAACUUAAAUCAUUUACUCUCUUCGUUUAAAAAUGAUGACCUACUUUGAUUUGACACAAAGUUUAAGAAAAUAAAAUUUUUUUUUUGAAUCUUGUGGCCUUAAAUUAAAGUUGUGUCAAAUACACCAAAAUAUCCUUUAAUCUUAUGGUCCUAAAUAUAUCAUGUGAAAAGUUGAAAUUAAAGUAUUACAAAAAAAAAGAGAUCAUUCUUUCUAAAAUGGAUUAAAAAUAAAAUAAGUCAUUCUUUUUUAAAUGGAGAGAGUAUUAAAGAGACAAGAAGAGGUAGUUUAUUAUUUUUUUUGGAUAAAAAAAUGAAUUCCUCCUUAUUAUAAAUAAUAAUAAGAGGGUAAUUAUUUUUAACCUCACAGUGCAUACACAAACGCACAUGCACACAGACACACAUACCUCCCCAUUCUCUCUCUCACCAUCUCCGACAGCCUGACAGGCGGAGCACCACCAGUCGCUGCCCCUCUCUCUCCUCUUCCCUCUCUCCUUCUCCUUCACUGUCGCCAACAAAAUCGACCGGAGCCGUUACCGCACCCAAUCCCCCGUUUUCUCUCUCCGCUUCAGCACCACCAGCUGCCACCACCGCCUCAACAUCCACCAGAGGAGCAUCCAACCAGACAAGCCAGCAGCCCAUUCCACCCGUGUUUCCACCACUGUCGUUGGAGCUUCCACGGGUCUCACUGCCAUCGCCACCCUUUCCCUCUUUGCCCUCAUCGUUGACCAGCCUACUAUCACUACUGUAUUUUCUCCCUUUACCUGCAUUUUUUAAUAAAAACUAUUCUUUGCAGAUCUGUUUGGCUUUCGUAUUUUUUGGUGUUGCUUCGGUGAAAUCCGUGGAAGCAGCGCCUCCCUUUUUCCAUUGUUGCAACCAGAUCUGACCGGGAAAUAUUUUUCUUUGUUGAAAUCUGUUUGUUAGCUUGUAUACUCUUGUAUCGUUAGUUUGUUCUAUCUGGAUAUUGUUACUGUGUUAACGGACUAAGUUUGUUAAUUUUUUUUUUUGUCUUUUGUUCGAAGAUAAAUCAGCUCGGAACUUACAUUCUUUUUGACAAAUUUUGGAUUAUUUUGAUAAAACUGUGAUGACCUCUGCCACUCGACUGCUUUCUUUCAUAAUUUUAUCACUUUUGCUUUAUGCUAUUAUCUUUCUCUGUCUCUUUAUUAUUAUUAUUAUUAUUAUUAUUAUUAUUAUUAUUUGUGGACUGAUUUAGUAUUGUUUAAAUUUAAAUUUUUUUCCAUUGACUUGCUAUUAUUUUACUUGAUUAUAUGAUCACUUAAAUAUGUGUUCUUGAUUCAUUUGAUAUUGAUGCGUAUUUUAAAUGACACGUGUAAUCUGUCUUUUUCUGUUUAUUUUUCAAUGAUUUUAGGUAG
rnacentral:lncRNA from 1 species